rnacentral:rRNA from 1 species
UGGGGAAUUUCCCGCAAUGGGCGAAAGCCUGACGGAGCAACGCCGCGUGGGUGAAGAAGGUCUUCGGAUCGUAAAGCCCUUUCAGUCGGGAAGAAACAAAUGACGGUACCGACAGAAGAAGCAUCGGCUAACUACGUACCAGCAGCCGCGGUAAGACGUAGGAUGCAAGCGUUGUCCGGAUUUAUUGGGCGUAAAGCGUACGUAGGCGGCCUUUUAAGUCGGUGGUUAAAGACUGCGGCUCAACCGCAGGAGUGCCUUCGAUACUGAGAGGCUGGAGGGUGGCAGAGGAAGUCGGAAUUCCCAGUGUAGCGGUGAAAUGCGUAGAUAUUGGGAGGAACACCAGUGGCGAAAGCGGACUUCUGGGCCAUUCCUGACGCUGAGGUACGAAAGCCAGGGGAGCAAACGG